UACUGGUAGUAAUAUACUGGUGGUAAUAUACUGUGGAAUAUCUGGUAAUAUACUGGUAGUCCGUAAUAUACUGUAUGUAAUAACUGGUUGGUAAUCACUGGUGGUAAUAUACUGUAGUAUAAAUUAUAUUGGUAGAUAUAGGUGGGGCUAAUAUAAAGACGGUGGUAAUAUACUGGUGGUAAUAUAGAGACUGGUGGGUACUAUUAUGGUGGUAAUAUACUGACUGGUAGUAAUAUACUGGUGGUAAUAGACUGGUGGUAAUAUACUGGUGGUAAUAUACUGGUA
rnacentral:lncRNA from 1 species